rnacentral:rRNA from 1 species
GAGUUUGAUCCUGGCUCAGGGUGAACGCUGGCGGCGUGCCUAAAACAUGCAAGUCGAACGGGAGCUUCGGCUCCAGUGGCAGACGGCUGAGUAACGCGUGGGUGAUCUACCAAGAAGUGGGGAAUAACUGCCCGAAAGGGUGGCUAAUACCGCAUGGCUCUCUCGUAUCGGUACGAGAGGGAAAGUCGCAAGACGCUUUUUGAGGAGCCCGCGUCCGAUUAGCUGGUUGGUGAGGUAACGGCUCACCAAGGCGACGAUCGGUACCUGGUCUGAGAGGAUGAUCAGGCAGACUGGGACUGAGAAACGGCCCAGACUCCUACGGGAGGCAGCAGUUAGGAAUUUUGGGCAAUGGGCGCAAGCCU